UACGUAGGGGGCAAGCGUUGUCCGGAUUUAUUGGGCGUAAAGAGCGUGUAGGCGGCCAAACAGGUCAGCUGUGAAAACUCGAGGCUCAACCUCGAGACGUCGGUUGAAACCGUUUGGCUAGAGUCCGGAAGAGGAGAGUGGAAUUCCCGGUGUAGCGGUGAAAUGCGCAGAUAUCGGGAAGAACACCCGUGGCGAAGGCGGCUCUCUGGGACGGUACUGACGCUGAGACGCGGAAGCGUGGGGAGCGAACAGG
rnacentral:rRNA from 1 species